GUUAUGCAGCUUUGUAGCCGCGCCUCGGGUGUAAGGUUACGUCAUAUAGAAACACUGGAAACCUUCAAGAAACAUAGUCAAGGAAAGCAUAAAUUGGAAGCCAAAAAAGCAGUAUACGAAGGGACACAAUUUUAAUUUAUGCGAUAUACUAUCAGUAGUCGUCAGUAUUUCAAUCCUCUCAAAAGUCCUGUUUUUAUUUGAUGGGAUGACCCAGAGUUCUGUUGUUAUUUGAUGGGAUGAUCCAUUUCUGUGAAAUCUUCUAAGAGAUGGGAUCCUCCUUGGCGUUACCCAUCCGUCUGUAGAAAUGGCUGCUGUCUCUCUAAACCCUGUCUUAAUGGCGGAAUGUGCAAGAAGCAGUGUGACUACCCGAAAACCAAGUUCGUCGGCAAUUGUCCAGCUAAUACCACAGGGAAACGAUGUGAGCAAUUGUUGCGGCCCAAGUCCUGCCUUGACUUCUACAAACCAAACAAUGCACCAGCUAAACCUCCAAGGGGUGUUCCAAUCUUCAAAAAUGAUAGCAUUACAGGAUAAUGCAGUAAAAGGAUACUGUGAUUUCACACCGCCAAAUAAAGCAUGGACUUUGAUUGAAUCCCAUGCUGCGAAGCAAGGAGUGGAAUCUGGAGCAAAAUCUUUAUUGGGUGACUUUCCAGUCAAUCAAGAGACCCCUGGACAUCACGAGAAGUACCUACUAAGCUCCUGGACAUCACGAGAAGUACCUACUAGACUCCUGGACAUCACGAGAAGUACCGACUAGACUCCUGGACAUCACGAGAAGUACCAACUAGACUCCUGGACAUCACGAGAAGUACCAACUAGACUCCUGGACAUCACGAGAAGUACCUACUAGACUCCUGGACAUCACGAGAAGUACCGACUAGACUCCUGGAUAUCACGAGAAGUACCGACUAGACUCCUGGACAUCACGAGAAGUACCAACUAGACUCCUGGAUAUCACGAGAAGUACCAACUAGACUCCUGGACAUCACGAGAAGUACCGACUAGACUCCUGGACAUCAUGAGAAGUACCGACUAGACUCCUGGAUAUCACGAGAAGUACCGACUAGACUUCUGGACAUCACGAGAAGUACCAACUAGACUCCUGGACAUCACGAGAAGUACCUACUAGACUCCUGGACAUCACGAGAAGUACCGACUAGACUCCUGGAUAUCACGAGAAGUACCGACUAGACUCCUGGAUAUCACGAGAAGUACCGACUAGACUCCUGGACAUCACGAGAAGUACCAACUAGACUCCUGGACAUCACGAGAAGUACCGACUAGACUCCUGGACAUCAAGAGAAGUACCGACUAGCGAGGACAGCCAUGCAGAUGAUCAAAGCCACAGCGGUGUCGUACCUAGUUACAUUCAAGCUCCUUACCAAGGGAGAGCUGCUUGGAUUGUACUGACUUGCACUCUUCCAAAGGUAAGGAAAUUGGCAUUUUCACGCCCACGCCCACUCAAUCUCAUCCCACUCACAUAUGUAGGUACAGAAAAACAGGUUUUCGUCAAAUAUAACGGCAGCUAUCAUUCAUUCCUGUGAGUCUACAGAUUCAACUACAGAUUACUGGUUGGGACAGGAAAUGCCAAAAACAUUGAUUUACGAGGACAAAAUUUGAAGGAAUGGUACUAAUCUAAACAAAGUACUUUCUUGGGUAGCAUGAUGGUGAUGACUAUCAUAAUCAUUAUUAUCAUUAUUUUUUUUAUUUCAUUAUUACUAAUACUAUAACUAAUCAACAUCAUUAAUUUUUAUUUUGUUUACUAUUAUUAUUAUAUUGUUGUUAUUAUUAAUAUUACUAUUGUUGUUGUUGUAUUUUUGGAUUCUGCUAUCUUUUAGGGGUAAGAAUUGAUGUUGACCCCACCCAAAGUUUCCAUCCCUUAUGCAUGUAUCAUUGUAAAGCCUGAGUGGGGGGUUGGGGGUGGCAGAUGUCGGGCGUUUGAACACCUCUUGCGUCCCCCCCUGGGGAAUUUGAAUACGAAAUUUGCCCCAGGGUCCGGACAUUCGAAAAUGCCUUUGCGGGAAACUGGGGCUGUUUGAAUUUUGGCGCGGAGGACUGAGGCUGUUUAGAUUUUUUUGCGUGGGCCCUGGGUUCAAAACUUUACAGUUCGAGAAGCAUGGCUCUAGCCUCGGCUCUAGAUUUCGGCUAGACUGUAGUGGCGAAAACGUUGUUCGACGUUGCGGAGUCAGAAAGUCAAACUUUCAAGGUAAAUCGUAUGAUGGCUAUAGCAUUUUAACCUAAAAAUCGAUGUAUCAAAUGUGUUUUGGAGGCGUGUUUUGGAGGCGUGUUACUAUUAUUUGAUCGAUGCUUUUUCCCAGCACAGGCUUCGCAGUAUAGCGAGUGUAAUUGGCAUCAUUGAUAAAAAUCAUUCACUUUGUAUUGCUGUACAUCGUGUGUCAAUUUUCUUGGUAUUUUUCUUGUCCGCUUUAACAAAGCUUGAUCGUUCGGUAUCGGACUUCUCUCUCUCAGAAAUCCGAUCGACAAAUUUAUUACAAGAACAAAUUUAAUUUGUUCAGAUUUGACAUUUUUUUCCAUUCCCAGGUAAGGAAUUUUCCUGUCAUUCGAACUCGGUCCCGAGGUCGGGAAUUCGAUGAAAAAAAUGCAAAAAAAAGCCAAAUACCCCACAUCUGCCCCCCCCCCCCCCCCCCCGUCUUUACAUUGUCACAUGCAUUUGGAAUUGAUUUUGCUGACGAUCUUCCCCUUCUGGAGGGGAUUUCCCGUUCGGAGUCCCCUCCCCCCCAAACCUAGUGUCCCUUGCAGCCGUUCUGGGCUAGGCGGCCUUGAUUCCCUUUUACAAAACAAACUGUUGGCCGCGCACGGUUGUCUCCGGCUGUUGCUCGGGAAUGACCGGCAUUGUGGAGAUUUUGGGAAUGUUGAUCUUUUUCAAUUGUAAAGCCGAAUAGCAAAACUCAAACAUGUUUUUUUUUACAAUUAAUUAGUUCGUGAAUUCUGUUUUUUCUAGCUUUGUGUACAAGCAAAUAAAAUAUAAAUCUAUGGCAA